UGGCUCAGUUCAGAUCGUAGGCUGCAACUCGCCUACGUGAAGUAGGAAUCGCUAGUAAUCGCAGGUCAGCAUACUGCGGUGAAUACGUCCCCGGGCCUUGUACACACCGCCCGUCACACCAUGGAAGUUGGCCAUGCCCGAAGUCGUUACUCCAACCCUUGUGGAGGAGGACGCCGAAGGUGGGGCUAAUGACUGGGGUGAAGUCGUAACAAGGUAGCCGUACCGGAAGGUGCGGCUGGAUCACCUCCUAACAGGGAGACAACAAAAUGUUUAAUAUUAUUAUUUUGUCACCUUAGGUCGAUCGGUAUCUCACGUUCUUAAUUUGUUAAGAAUUUCAUUUCCUAAGUUUUUCUAGGUCACACCCAUUAUUUUUCCUGGGCCAUUAGCUCAGGUGGUUAGAGCGCACCCCUGAUAAGGGUGAGGUCCCUGGUUCAAGUCCAGGAUGGCCCAUAUCUCUAUGUUGGGGGUAUAGCUCAGUUGGUAGAGCGCCUGCUUUGCAAGCAGGAUGUCAGCGGUUCGAGUCCGCUUACCUCCACUGAUUACCACCUCUUCCAUAACCGGUAGAAAGGAAAUGUUUUGAGUUGUGAUCAUUAUUCUGAACGAAUCUAGCUUCCUAAUGAAAUCAUUAAGAUGCUGGACUCAUUGAAUUAAUUUCAUUGUUUUCAGAGAACCUUGACAACUGCAUAGAUUAUUUUAAAGACAAUAAGCAUCUUUAAUGAUGCAGAUUUAUUAUUUGUGCGAAUGCAUUAAUAACAAUUCUAUUAAGCUGAUGCUUCAAUUUUUGAAGUUAUUGGUCAAGCUACAAAGGGCUCACGGAGGAUACCUAGGCACACAGAGGCGAUGAAGGACGUGGUUACCUGCGAUAAGUCUCGGGGAGU
rnacentral:misc_RNA from 1 species